rnacentral:rRNA from 1 species
AAUAUUGGACAAUGGGGGCAACCCUGAUCCAGCCAUGCCGCGUGUGUGAAGAAGGUCUCCGGAUUGUAAAGCACUUUAAGUUGGGAGGAAGGGCUUUAGGCUAAUACCCUGAAGUUUGGACGUUAUCAACAGAAGAAGCACUGGCCAAUUCUGUUCCAGCAGCCGCGGUAAUACAGAGGGUGCAAGCGUUAAUGGGAAUUACUGGGCGUAAAGCCCGCGUAGGUGGUUCAGUAAGAUGGGUGUGAAAUCCCCGGGCUUAACCUGGGAACUGCUUUCAUAACUGCUGAGCUAGAGUACGGUAGAGGGUAGUGGAAUUUCCUGUGUAGCGGUGAAAUGCGUAGAUAUAGGAAGGAACACCAGUGGCGAAGGCGACUACCUGGACUGAUACUGACACUGAGGUGCGAAAGCGUGGGGAGCAAAC